UCCUGCCCUGCGCUUCGCGCAGGUGGCGCAGACGCCCCUGCUCUCCGGCGCCCCCUGCCGGGCAGAGGGAGGGCGGCGGCCGCGGAGGAGCCGAGCACAGGCGGGGAGAGAGCUCCAGCGCCGGGAAGAAGCCGGGAGCUUCCCUGAUGGUGCCGCCGCCUCCGAGUCGGGGAGGAGCGGUGAGGAGGCAGCUGGGCAGGAGCCUGGGUCCGCUGCUGCUGCUCCUGGCGCUGGGACACACGUGGAGCUACCGAGAGGAGCCCGAGGACGGCGACAGAGAAAUCUGCUCAGAAAACAAGAUCGCCACGACGAAAUAUCCGUGUCUGAAGCCUUCGGGUGAGCUCACCACGUGUUUCAGG